GGCCGCAUAGUUCAGUCGGUUAGAGCAUCGUGCUAAUAACGCGAGGGUCGACAGUAUGAGCCUGUCUGUGGCCA